AGAGUUUGAUCAUGGCUCAGGAUGAACGCUAGCGAUAGGCUUAACACAUGCAAGUCGAGGGGCAGCGCGAGGUAGCAAUACUUUGGCGGCGACCGGCGCACGGGUGCGUAACACGUAUGUAACUUACCUCUUACAAUCGGAUAACACGGUGAAAGUCGUGCUAAUACGGUAUAGUUUCGCAAGCUCGCAUGGGCGUGCGAAUAAAGAUUCAUCGGUAGGAGAUAGACAUGCGGUCCAUUAGAUAGUUGGUGAGGUAACGGCUCACCAAGUCGACGAUGGAUAGGGGGACUGAGAGGUUGACCCCCCACACUGGUACUGAGACACGGACCAG
rnacentral:rRNA from 1 species